rnacentral:rRNA from 1 species
GACAGAGGGGGCAAGCGUUGCUCGGAAUCACUGGGCGUAAAGGGUGCGUAGGCGGGUCUUUAAGUCAGGGGUGAAAUCCUGGAGCUCAACUCCAGAACUGCCUUUGAUACUGAAGAGCUUGAGUCCGGGAGAGGUGAGUGGAACUGCGAGUGUAGAGGUGAAAUUCGUAGAUAUUCGCAAGAACACCAGUGGCGAAGGCGGCUCACUGGCCCGGUACUGACGCUGAGGUGCGAAAGCGUGGGGAGCAAACAGG